GCGAAGACGAACUUAUGUGGAAAAUAUAAAUACGAAAUUGGUGAAUUUGAAAUCUGAUGAAUCAACUGGGGGCGUGGAUAAACGGGCAUCUAAAAAGUUCAAAUAGGAAGAGUAUGAUCGUGGGUUGAAACGUCCGAAGUGAAAAUUAUCCGGACCCCGAAGGAAGCUCCUGGCUCGAAGAGAACUGCAUAGUUUCCCCUUCUAUCAUUCGGCCUGCGAAUAGAA